rnacentral:rRNA from 1 species
CCUACGGGAGGCAGCAGUGAGGAAUAUUGGUCAAUGGGCGGGAGCCUGAACCAGCCAAGCCGCGUGAAGGAAGAAGGCGCCAGGCGUCGUAAACUUCUUUUGUCGGGGAACAAAGGGCGCCACGCGUGGCGUUGUGAGUGUACCCGAAGAAAAAGCAUCGGCUAACUCCGUGCCAGCAGCCGCGGUAAUACGGAGGAUGCGAGCGUUAUCCGGAUUUAUUGGGUUUAAAGGGUGCGUAGGCGGUCCGGAAAGUCAGCGGUAAAAGCCCGGGGCUCAACCCCGGAGAGACGUUGAAAAUGGCGGACUAGAGACGGCGAGAGGUAUGCGGAAUGCGAGGUGUAGCGGUGGAAUGGAUAGAUAUCGAGGAGAACUCCGGUUGGGAAGGCAGAGUACCGGCGCCGGAGUGACGGUGAGGCACGAAAGCGGGGGUAUCGAAAAGGAUUAGAUACCCUUGUAGUC